rnacentral:lncRNA from 1 species
CCUGGGGGGCCGGGGCCUCAGCAGUGCGCUAGGCCUCUGGGGCUGCGCUUCUCACAGCUGUCGCUGGGGACACCGGGCCUCCUGUCUGGUGGCCUCCGCGCAGGCCCGGACACAGCCGGAAAGAAGCGCCAGGUGGGAAAGCGGCCAGGACGAGGCAUGCGGCCUGGGGAGCCGUGUGCUCCCUCUGGGCCUCAGCCUCCCCUUCCUCAGUCCCCUCCACGCCACAGACGCGCUCCAGAAUGGAGACGAAGCGCGCGGACGGCGGACGGACCGGACGGCUCCUCCCCCAGCCAGGCUGCUCCGCCAGCUCCGGACGGCUCCUCCCCAGCCAGGCUGCUCCGCCAGCUCCGGGAGGGCGCUCACCGGCUGCUGUCAGCACAGGGGCCCUUGGGGAGGGUGCCUGGCCGCUCCCGUGCCUCCUCCCGGGCACACGGCGCCGUGUGGAGGAGCGCCGGGCUUUGCUCGCUCGGCCCAGACUCCUCUCCAGCCGGCGCUCGGCCGCCGAGGUGCACAGGCUGGGCUGGCUCUGCCUCCUCGCCCCGCUGGCCGGAGCAGGGUGGGGGUCGGAACCUGGGCCGGAAGCAAAGUCCGCUGCUGCGCCUUUUCCUUGCGGGGAGGCCUGGGUGGCCCCGAGGGCUCCCCCUCCUGAGGGGCUCCCCCACCACCUCAAGCUCCUCGCUGAGCGCAGCAGCCACUCAGGCAGUGCUGGCCGGCCGAGCGGGCCCUGUGAGAGCAGCGCGUGUGACACCUUGUCGGUGUCGGCUCCUGGAUCUGUGUAAUUAGCACGGCUGCUCUGGCCGGGGCGAUGCUGUCUGUGGCGGUCAGAGCAGGAAGACAGCUCCCUGUCUGCAGACUGGAUCGGGCCAUCGCACGGUCUCAGACUCCUCUCCUGGCUUAGGGACCAGGGUGCCGACCACAGCCCCGUGGAUAGGAGGAGAACUGCAGCGGCCAGGCGAGACGUGAACUGUGCUGCGGACACCCGUGUGGACCCUGGGGCUCCCAGCAAGUGUGGGCACUGCUGAGGGGCCAGGAACCCCUCACCCCAAGGCCCUGCCUGCAUCUCCCAAGCUGCACCACCUGGGAGGCGCCAUGGCGCCCGAGAGCAGCUUAGGCGCGUCCGACCUCGUGCGUCUCCUCGUGGCCUUUCACACAUCCAGCAAAGCCCAGCCUGGGGCAGACGUGCGUCUCCAGCUGGGUUCCUCCUGUGGCCACGGCAGAGACCACGCCCCAUCCCCGAGCCCUGGGGACACUGCAGGCCCACACGUGGCCCUGCUCAGCUCCCUUGCCGAGGCCUCCAGGUGAGGCGCAGCAGGAGGCACCCAGUGGGGCAUCUGCUUGGGCGGAUGGUGCAGCACGGAGGCCCAGGCCGGCCUGGGAAGGACCUGUCCUGUGGGGCUCAUGGACCCCACAUGUGGUGUCGUCGAGGUCACCUGUGUGCACCCCGCACCUCUCACACCUGUGUAUUGAUGAGCUGCUUCCUGAUGCUGCGAGGGCCUGAGAACCCCAGAGGACACGGGUCCCAUGAGGUCACACGCGGGUCAUGCAUGGUCACAGCAUCACGCCUGCUACAGAGGGCCACCGAGGCCGAAAGGCAGAGACUGCAGCCAGCGGGAGGGCGGAGGCACGGCGCCCUGUCUGGGCCACCAUGGCCACAGGCAGGGCCCAUGUCCCCAACAUGCGCUUCCUGCCGGGAGAGCCCGGCUUGGAGAGGCCAGCAGCGCGACCUCGGGGCUGCUUUGACCUUGGGCCUCUGGACUUCCUGGCCCAGGCCGUCCCUCUCUUUGGGGAGCAGCUCUCUCCGAACUCCUGCCGUGGGAGCCCCGCUGGCCAAGGCUGGGCAGGCGAGUGUGUCCCUGGAAGACAGAACAGACAAGCCCAGAUCCUGGCAAAGUCACCAGCACCACGGUUGGCUCGGGCACCUCUGAGCCGCUCUUCGGAGCAGCCGGGCUGACCCUCCAGUGCGCGUGGGCGGUCACCUGCCACCCGCCUCGGGCUCUGUGCGGCUGAGCUUCAGCGAAGGCUGAACCGUCAACCUCGCCCUGAAGGCCGGCGCUGUCACCUGGGCUCAGGGUUGCGGGAGCCCGGCCUCUGGAGCCAGGGCAGGAGCAAGUCCCUCCCACCUCGCCGGGGUGGUGCGUGCGGCUUUGCUUUCUGCUGCCUUUCGUCAGGCUUGUGUUUCAUGAGAAGAAACGGCGGUCGGGAAAUCCCUGGCUUUCUCGUGGGGACACAGCUCCCCGUGUGGUUGGGACGCGGAAUUGGGAACCGCGUGGUGUCUGGGCCCUCUUCUUCCAGCCCGCUGGGUUUGCCUCUUCCCAGGAGUCAGAAGCAGCGCUGCCGAGUACGGAGUUGCAGCUCCACGUCAGUGGUUUCCUUCUUUUUUUUUUCUUUUGGUACCGGGGAUCGAACUCGGGUCCUUGCGCUUGCGCAGCAGGCGGUGAAACCACUGAGCUAAAUUCCCGGCCCCUGGAUCCUUCUUUUACGGAGAGAGGAGUGUGCGCAUGCGUGCUGCCAGCACCCAUCCCUUAAAACAGCGGAAGCAGGUUUAGCUCAUUUCCCUCUAAGAUCACUGCAGCUCUGACUCAGACGGCGCAUACUUCAUGG